GACGAACGCUGGCGGCGUGCUUAACACAUGCCAGUCGAACGUGAUUUUUGUGGAAAUUCUUUCGGGAAUGGACAUGAAAUGAAAGUGGCGAACGGGUGAGUAACACGUGAGCAACCUACCUUACACAGGGGGAUAGCCGUUGGAAACGACGAUUAAUACCGCAUGAGACCACAGAAUCGCAUGAUAUAGGGGUCAAAGAUUUAUCGGUGUAAGAAGGGCUCGCGUCUGAUUAGCUAGUUGGAAGGGUAAAGGCCUACCAAGGCGACGAUCAGUAGCCGGUCUGAGAGGAUGAACGGCCACAUUGGAACUGAGACACGGUCCAAACUCCUACGGGAGGCAGCAGUGGGGAAUAUUGCACAAUGGGGGGAACCCUGAUGCAGCGACGCCGCGUGAGCGAAGAAGGUUUUCGAAUCGUAAAGCUCUGUCCUAUGAGAAGAUAAUGACGGUAUCAUAGGAGGAAGCCCCGGCUAAAUACGUG
rnacentral:rRNA from 1 species